rnacentral:rRNA from 1 species
UACAGAGGGUGCAAGCGUUAAUCGGAAUUACUGGGCGUAAAGCGUGCGUAGACGGUUAUGUAAGUCAGGUGUGAAAGCCCCGGGCUCAACCUGGGAAUUGCAUUUGAGACUGCAUAGCUAGGGUGCGGAAGAGGGAAGCGGAAUUUCCGGUGUAGCGGUGAAAUGCGUAGAUAUCAGGAGGAACACCGGUGGCGAAGGCGGGUCUCUGGGCCGAUACUGACGCUGAGGAGCGAAAGCGUGGGGAGCGAACAGG